GUUCCCAUGAUGAAUUAAACUUUUUAGCUGCUGAAUCAUAUAGAUAUGAAUUAAAACUUAAGUCUGAUAGAA